rnacentral:ncRNA from 1 species
UCUGCCAGAGGCACACUCGUCGCCAGGCGAGGGCGCGAAGCUACCCGUCCCGAUCGUGACGGACAGUGGGGUUGCCGCGG